UAUCUACAAGUUUCUUUUCAGAUAUAAACACAAGAUUAAGAGAUGGGGGAGAAGAAAAAAGAGGUGAUCAGAUUAGAGAGAGAAGCUGUGAUCCCAAUUCUAAAGCACAAGCUCAUUACUGCCUUGUCCCUUCACUUUGAAGAUAAAUGUGAGAGAGAGGAGUUCCUAAGAUUCUGCCAGAGAGUGGAAUGUACCAUUAGAGCUUGGUACCACCUUCAUUUUGAGGAUCUUAUGCAACUGUAUUCACUUUUCGAGCCAAUCCGUGGCGCACAUAGGCUUCAUCAACAGAAUUU